rnacentral:rRNA from 1 species
UUGGAGNAUGUAUAGCGAAAGCUAGUUGUAUUAACUUCGACUAGUUCGAGGUUAAUGCAGCAUCGACCAUGUCGAAUAAAGUUCUAGGUAGAGUUAUGAUAAUGACAUUUUCUACCUAUGUGUCUUGACCAAGUCACGUGCCAGCAGUCGCGGUAAUACGUGGAAGACUAGUGUUAUUCAUCUUUAAUAGGUUUAAAGGGUACUUAGACGGUAAAUUUAGCCCAAAUAAAAACAAAGGGUACUAAUAAUACUAGAGUUUAAUGAGAGGGGGUGCGUACCAAUGGUGUAGAGAUGAAAUUCUGUCAUACCAUGAUGACGGGCAACGGCGAAAGCAACCCUUUAUGUAAAAACUGACGUUAAAGGACGAAGGCUUUGUGUCACCAACAGGAUUAGAUACCCAAGCAGUCUUAGCAGACAAUUCUGAAUGCCAUAGAUACGGAAAAAAAAAUAUUAUCUUUUUAUUAUAAAAAUAAAAAUAAAAAAAAAAUAAAAAUAAAAAUAAAAAAUAAAAAGAAAAAAUAAAAAUAUUACCUUUUUUUCUAAAAAUAAAAAAGGUAAAUAUUACCUUUUUAUUCAAUCUCUUUUUUUGUGAAGAUAAGAUAAGAAAAUAAUAAUAAAGGAUAUUCUUUGUCUAUAAAUGAAAGUGUAAGCAUUCCACCUCAAGAGUAAUGUGGCAACGCAGAAACUGAAAUCAUUAGACCGUUUCUGAAACCAGUAGUGAAGUAUGUUGUUUAAUUUGAUGGUCCGCACAAAACCUUACCACAAUUUGUAUAUUAUUAGCUUAGUACAAGAGUUGCACGGCUGUCUUCAGUUAAUGUCGUGAGAUUUGGUUAGUUCCAUAAAAUUAACGUAAACCCUUACUUUAUUUAUAUUAUAAAGUAGUUCACCGCUAUAUUGGAUAUGAUAAAAGGGACUAAGACAAGUCAUCAUGGCCUGAUAU